AAAGAUUCGGAGCUCAGCCAUAAUUAUCCGUUGUCAAAAGAACCUUAAUAAGGGAUCAUCGUAAUCAUGGCCAAAUACUAGAAGUUGGGUGCUUUCGGCGUUAGAUGUAGCUGAAAGAUUGGCGUUCAAAGAAACCUCUGCUGCCUUCAUCAAAAGAGUAGACAUCAGUCACCUGGUUUGAUGUUCUUAUGAGCAAGACUCAAUCUCUGUAGAAGUAUUAGCUUAAUAAAUACAGCAAAAAUUAUUUUUUGGUUCCUUUUAGG